UACGGGGGGGGCAAGCGUUGUUCGGAAUUACUGGGCGUAAAGGGCUCGUAGGCGGCCAACUAAGUCGGAUGUGAAAUCCCCAGGCUUAACCUGGGAACUGCAUCCGAUACUGGAUGGCUUGAAUCCGGGAGAGGGAUGCAGAAUUCCAGUGUAGCGGUGAAAUGCGUAGAUAUCGGGAGGAACACCAGUGGCGAAGGCGACUUCCUGGCCUGUUCUUGACGCUGAGGCGCGAAAGCUAGGGGAGCAAACGGG
rnacentral:rRNA from 1 species